CUGAGCUCUUCUCGGUGGUGCACAGCGAUAGGACAAGGAGCAAUGGCCUAAAAAACCUGAACACAGGAAGUUCCGUACUAACAUGCAGAAGAACUUCUUUAUGGUUAGGGUGGUGGAGGACUGGAAGAGGUGCCCAGAGAGGUGGUAGAGUCUCCUUCUAUGGAGUUGUUCCAAGACCUAGCUGGACACCGACCCGUGCGACCCAUUGUAGGGAGCUGCUUUAGCAGGGGGCUGGACUCAAUGAUCUCUUGGGGUCCCUUCCAACCCCUGUGGCUGGAAGAGCUCUAGUGUGCAGGAGUGGGGCACCAGAGCCUGGCGGGUGGCACAAAGGUGGGGAGCAUCAGAUACGGGCAUUUGGGGGGGCUGCUUCCUGUUAGUUUUCUCAUUCUGGCUUCUUGUUUUCCUCCUCGGUUUUGAUGCUCUAACAGUUGUCCUUUUACAUUUUCAUAAAUAAAUAAAGCUAGGAAUUUUCCUUCGGAAUGAGAAGGUUGUGGCUCUCAGACAUACAGGAGUGCAGGCUGCUCCCAUAAGAGCUGUGUGAUUGCAUGGCAGGCGGUGGUGGCAAUGGAGGGGUGUUGUCCCCGGGCUCUGGCAGUGCUUCUGGGGAAGGUGAAGGUCACGCCGCUGUUUCCUUUCCAGCUGGACAGUUCUGUCCAUGGAGGGAGAAUGAGAAAGGACACAAACCCAUCCUGACUCGCACCAGUACCUGGCGUGCACUGUUAGCAUCACCUCUGGGAUGCUCGUCGCCAGCCCUGGCCCAGCACCUGCUUUAUCCUGCCUCCCUUGAAACUCAUACACAUGAGCAUCCGUUGCAGCGGCUGGGGUCAGCGCCAUGGCUUUGGAGUUUGCUCCCUCCCAACGGAGAACAAAAAGCCCUACAGAUUGCCAAGCUCUUCCUUGCUGUGCUGUGCAUUGCCAGGCAGAGGAAUUCCCAGGAGAGGGGCAGACCAAAGGCAGCCUUUCCUGCAGUGAUUUAACCACAGCACUCCCCCUGUGUGGUGUGGGGGUGUCGGACGGGCAGCACCCGAGAGCCGUGGGUUCAUUCGGAGGCUGUUAGAUGAACCCCUGCUGUGGCAUUGUGGCUCUGUUCAAAUGCAGGGAGGAGAUGAAAGGUGAAGCUUCAGCGCAGAGCUCAUCCUCAGGCACGGCAGAAAAUAGAAGCAGAGUUCUCUGGGCCUUUCCCCCGCCUGGAGAUGCUCCGUUGGCCAGAAUGUCACUUCUCAUUUUCUUUGCGCUCUUCUCUCGUCCGUUCUCAUUAACCCCUUCCCCCGUGCGAACCCCGCAGCCAGCACAGUGCUCUGCCUGCAGCCAGCACUGCUGUGGGAGACUCCUCCUGCAUCCCCGAGCAGGCAUCCCCAGUCCGUGGAUUUCCUGCUCUUUUCUUGGAGCUCUCCUCCAGUCUCCCCUGCUUCAUGUUCUUUGUUUUGUGGCUCGCCUUUCUCCUUUGCAGCACCCAAGUCAUUGCCACCUCCCCGCUUUCUGACAAGAAACAUUCCUAUUUCCUUCCACCCCUCCUUCACACCUAAGAGCUGGCAGACCCGUGUGCUAGCUCAGGAGAUCUCACCAUGUGUUUUGACAAGCAGAGUUCUUAUCUCACUACCUGCCUCCUGCAAAGUGUGCCAAGGUGGAGCUCUGAAAACUGCUUUCCAAGGCUCCGAGGUGCAGCAUCUCGCCACUGCUCUGCAGCUCCCCUUGGCCAUGCUGCGUGCUGUGUCGGGUUGUUGGUGCUGCCUGCCUCUGCUCCUGGGGAGGUUUAGGGUAAAUCUUCCAUUUUCUCUGCUACACAAGUGAUGUCUCCGUUUUUUACGCAUUGUAAUUUCAAUGCUUUCGUUCAGGUCCAGAUCCCAGGGACUUCCAACACGCUCAGCUCCUCAGGCGCCUUUCAGGAAACAUCCCUGGGUCUCCCUGCACCUUCGUUCCUCAGCUGUGCAACCUCUGGGCUGUGUCUGUUAACCCAGCAAGGCCUCACGUUUUGCUGGCUCCGCAGAGGUCAGGAACGUGCUUGGUUCUGGGUGCUCUUUUAAUGAAAGGGGAGGCUGCGUUGUGUUGUUAAACUGAAGAAUUCAGAGCUUUCCCUCCCUGUAGCUUGCUUUGCAGGGGAGCAGCAUGGACAUGGGCAUUGAUGCUCUUCUGUGAGGCGUCACCCAGUGCUGGCUGCAAAGCAUGAAACGCAGAGAGCUAAGGUAGCUGUUGGUGAGGGAUAGCCUUUGCUUCAGCAAAACAGAAAAGGGAAAGCAACCAGAAAUACAUGCGUGAGAAGGAAAUCGUUCCCAGUGCUAUUUUAUUAACCCAGUGGACCAGCUCCAGAAACAACCAGGGUUGCUUGUGCAACUCCAACUUGUGACUCUUUCCCAGGGUGGCCAUGAGGGGCACUGCAGGGUAAGGAAUGGGGACACCCACGCUGCCCCAAGGAAGUUUGGCUUCAGGGUUGCAGUCUGUAAGCCCCAGCGGUGCCUGCACCCGCAGAAUGGAGCAGCUGUCAGCUGGGUGAGAGCCGUGCCCGUGGCUGGGCUGCUGAGACAGGUUUGUAUGCAUCCGAGCUUUGCAACGGAGCCACAAAGCAAAUGGAAGGAUGUGCAUGUGGAGAUGAGCGAGAACGUGCACCUCAGGGUGUGGUGUGUGUCGGUGCAUGUGCAUGUUACACGUCGGUAUUACUUGCACCAGUCACAGGUGCGUGCAUGUGAGUGCACGUGCUCACCUCUGCAUGGAUGAGCACACACAGGAGUGCCCCUGGCUGUGUGUGAAGAGCUGGCCUUGCAUUUUGGGUUGUCCAUUCAUUCUGGCUCAGGCAUCUCUGCGUGCAGUCAAACACGACUUGUACAAUGCGUGGCAGCAGGGCGACCUGCUUGGAAACCGCGACUGAACGCACGAUCCAAGGCCUGUCCUGAGAAGAAUUUAAUAAAACAGAACAGCCGAAUGCAUCAUUAUCGAUGUUUUGAUCCGAGCGUACCUCGGGUCUUGCUGCAGAGGCGAUGUUUUCUCCUUGGACUAUCAUUCAGGUUGAGGAGGGCAGGCAGGCAGGUUGGCUAAUUUGGUUUGAAUGAGCGCUCUCUAGGGACGACACGACUGCACGCUGUUCUUAGCACCUGCAGUGCCUCACCUGCAUGGUGCAGCGUGCUGAGAUACCGAGUGGUGCAUGGCAUCUGGGUGCUGAGCUCUGUGCUCCUCGGCUCUGGGCUCAGCAGCGCUGAAUUCCUCCUGCAGUCUGUGCUUUCUCAGGAGGGGGAGCGAGGGGGAAGCCGAGCCAGGGCUAUCACCUGCUCGAGGUCUCAUCUAUCACCUUGAAUUGUGUCGCGGGAUAAAAUUACUCAUCCAAACCUAAUGAUAAAUUAAAUCAAACCUGGAGUAAAGAGGAUUAAUGGGCUGUGCGCGCACAUGCACACGUUUGGCAAAGAGGCCGUGACCCAGGGAGGUUUGAAAUGCCUGCUGGAGCGGACGGAGCCAAUCACGGGGUGGGCUGGGGAUGGCUGCUGGGCUCCUGCAUCCCUGCACAGAGUGCAGCUUCCACCCACCCAUGGUGCAGGUGUAAGAGUUUAUCCCCGGGGAGGAUAAGGGCCCGGUGUAGGUGGGGUAAGCCUUGGUGGAGGAGGGCUUCUCGUAAAUGACUGCUUAAGCUGUGAACAUAUUUAAUGAAGGCCAACAGCAUCUGUGUUGUUCCUGCAGAAAUAGCGGGCUGGGGAAGAGCAGAGACUUGCAGCAUGAACUGAGUGGGAAUGUUUGGCUGCUGCAGCCGUCAGCUGCCAAAGCACAGGACAAAACGAGUCCCAGAGCUUCUGUUUGCAUGGGGCUGGGAGCUGGGAGGCUGAGGUCCCCUUCCUGCUGCGCUCACAAUGGGGGCCUGGGACGAGCCCUGUGGGCUCCGUGCUCAUGCUAAGCUGGGCUGGGAAAGCAUUCCUCAGUCAGCCUUAAGGUCCGUGUGCAUUACUGGCCUGCAUCAGUGGGGAGCUGGGAGGCUUUGGUUUUCUGUGCCUGCUGACUGAUGUAGGGUUGUAAGGGCUGAGCACACGUAGCAUCCCUGGAACGUGGUGUGCGUGGAGCGGGCACCGCUCGGUGCUGUGCGGGCGCGGGGGCACCGAGGUGCUCCCUCCCACCCAAACCACUCCAUCACAUUGCCUUAUCAUCACCUGACAAUGUUUUUCAACAUCAACAGCCUCGUAAAGCUUUUCCUAAUCUACAGCAGAUGCUGUCAGGAGUCCGGUUAUUAGCUUCACGGGGGGAAAAAAGAAUAACAAAAACAAGAGCCAGCCUUCCCCCGGCCCACCACGCAGAACCUCCGUAACGAGCGUGAGUGCGUGGGGGUGGUUCAUCCCCAAAGCAAACAGGGUGUUUCGCUCCCUCUCUCGGGUUUGGCUAAAAAAAGCAAAUAGACCGCAGAGGAAACGCGUCACGGCGCAAACCGUAACCAGAUGGCGCGGGAGGGAGCGUGGGAGGGCAGAGGGGGUUUCUGCGGCAGAACGUGCGUGUCGGAGGGCAGGGAGUCCUCCCCAGGGUGGGCUGGGGUAGGGGAAAGCCCGGCACCGAAACCGAGAUGCUGGGGGCUGCUGGGUGGAAAGUGAGGUGGGGCGGCACUCCCCGGCGCUGGCAGCACCCGCAGAGCAUCUCACCCAGCUCAUUUCUUUUUCUGUUUUGUUGCCGCGUGCUGUUGGCGCUUCUUUCUCUUCUCCCCCACUUUUGUCGCUGUGAAAGGUAAAUUUCCCUCUGGCGAGGGGGUCAGCUCCCGGGAGACCCCGCGUCCUUCAGCAGCAGGGCUCUGAGCAGCCAGGAAUGGGGCCACAGCAGCACUGGCCAGAGCGCAGAGGUGCUGGGAGGGCCGUGGGGUGUUACAGCGUGGCUGGCAGCAAAAAUACAUUGAGAUCACCCAGUCAAUCGUGAAGGCUGGAAAAGACCUCCAAGAGCAUCACAUCCAACCAACAACCCGUCCCCGCCGUGUCCCCAAGCUCCACAUCUGCCUGUUCCUUGAACGCCUCCAGGGACGGUGACUGCACUGCUUCCCCAGCAGCCUGGCUGAUGUCACACGUCCACCCUCCGGCCUUCAGGAGGGCCUUGGGAUUCUGCCAGCAGGGCAGUUCCCAACUGCUCGUAUCCCAGGAGCGGUGAUGGUUCGGAUCCCAGCCCCGCCAGCCAGGGCUGUGCAUGAGGCUUUGUGCAAGGCAGCAGGGUGGGGAACAUGGGGAAGAGUGAGUGAGAGCCGUUAAUUAGGACGGCUGAGUGAGCAUAGGCAGGAAGGUUUGUGUAAUAGGUAUGGCAGGGCUGAUUGAUAGCAACCUGGGGAAGAGAGGGGUGUCUGAACGACGUGUGGGAUGAAAAGCAAUGUGUGACAGUGUGUGAGAAGCUGGAGGGGAGAGGUUUGUGGGAUGUGGUAUGUGGAAAUGGAAGGUGGAGAGUGGUGAGGUUGCAGAGUGGGGCUGCCAGCAGCAAGAAGUAGGGGUGUCUGGGGGCUGUGUGGAGAGCCUGAGCUUGGGGAUGGAGGAUGGAUGGAGUGAGCAUGUGCAAUAGGAGAGGAAGGUUUCAUGGAGGACUGGAGAGGGGGAGGGUGAGCACGGGGCUUGGGUGGGUUAGUGCUCGGAGGGUUUGGCUCGUGUGCUGCGUUAGCAGUGCCUGAGAGCCCUGCAUACUGUCCUGUGGGCACAGCUGAUGUGGCUGCAGGCUGUGUGCUGCGGGGGUGCCCUGUGGGUAGGGCGAAGUUACGCACUUUCCAGCCAUGGAGCAUUGCAGGAAAGGGCUGCUGCAGCUCCCCUGGCAGGAGGGGGGCUUGGGCGAUCUGCAUCACCAACCAGAAUGGAGAGGGAAGGGUAGGGAGGAAACCCGACCCAGGAAUGAAAAGCUGUCUGCUUGUUCCCCCGGAGGAGAGGCAGGCGCUAGCGGCUCCCCCAGUGACUCUCGGAUGAUUAGCACGCCUAUGGAGCAGAGCUGCUGGCUCUAGGCGUGCGAGAAUACGAUAAAAUGCAGAUUUUUCCCAGUGUUACCGUGCUAGCCUGUGCCUCCCUUUGCAGUUCUACCCCAGCAAUGAAGCAUCUCCCACCGCUGUUCCAUUCAUGCAUUGUUCUGCCCUGUCCCAGUGCAAGGCUGCUGGAGCACGGCGAGGAGUUCUCUCUGCUUUGGGCCCCUUCUGCUCUGCCAGUACUGCUGGGGACGAGGUGCAGUCAGCCAUGGGCACACUGGGAACGAUGUGCUUCCUCAGAGCUGAAGGGAACAAAGUUUUCCAGGGAAACUGAGGCUCAGGGAAACAUGAAUGGCACAGGUUCACAAGGGAAAGUAGCAACAGCCCAAACCUGCGCUUCCCAAAGCAGCUCUUGCAGAGCAGUGUCCAAGCACUGUUGCUUGUACUAAACACAGGCGUCCUCCUGCGGGUGAGUUACAAGUGGCAAGCUGCAAUUACACACGAGCAGCACCGCGCUGCUUUGCCGGUGACAGCAUUAUUUGUGAGUGCUGCAGGCAGGCAACUCCCCAGCACCAGGCAGGAGGCAGCUGGGGGUUUCAGGCGGUCUGUCAGUGUGGACAGCUGCCCUGGCAUAGCAAGCAGGGUGGUACAGCGCAGCACGGAGCGCAGCGGGCUCUGGACCUCCGCAGACGUUGCUUUGGUGGAGACAGCAGCCUGCCUCGCUCAGCGGUGACUGCUGGGAGCUGGGCCCUGUGUCUGCUGCCUCUCUUCACUCUGCUGUGUUGCUUAAUCUCUUAAAGUGAGGGCAAGUCACCACUGCAACACGUGCUAGCAGCGCAUCCCCAAAUGCAGGGAUGCGCUGGGGGACUUUCCCCGCCGGGCUGAGGCUCUGCCGCCAUUCACUGGGCGAUCUCUUUCAUACCUUCAAUGCAGAGAUGGAAUUCUCCUUCAGUGAAACGUUUCUGUUAGGAAGCAUUCCUUGAUAACCGGGUUCAACCUUCCCAUCCCGAGUCUCCCCGCGUGUCCCUGCGGGCUGUGCCGCUGCUGCUCCGAGAUGGGUGUUGCGUGCGCGCUGCCGCGGUGCAGCUGUUGGCUGCUACUCGAAAGCAGCAGAGCGGGGCUGGAGUUUUGCCAUCCGCCCUCCCCUCCCUCCCUCUGGGCGAGGGGUGGGGCGGCGAGAGGGUGGGAGCUUCAGACGCCGUUCUCAUGGAAUCCGUCGCCCUUUCCCGGCCCUCGGCAUGAAAGCAGUCCCAGCCAAACAGAGAUGCAGAUGGUCUCACCCCUGGAGCCAACGCCUGUGUCAAGAGCCUUGGAAAUGUGAGACCGUACCACCAAUGAAGUUCAAAAAGCGCUGUUGUCAAUGCUGAGGAGAUUUCCCCACCCUUCUUCCCCCCCCCCCCUUUUUUUUUUUUUUUUUUCCUUUUUGGAGUCGCUGGUGCCUUUCUUGUUUUGUUUCUUUUCGUUUUGUUUCUCUGUGUUUUGUUUUCUGCUUCUAGUCCUCGGGGGCCUAAAGAAAGGCUGAUGGAAAUCAGGCACCCCCACUUGGACGGCUUUGCCGCGGGCUUGAGACGUCCCAUUCUGAGAUCCCAUCUCUAAGGGUAUUUUCCAGGUGUAUCGCUGCACCUCCCCACCCCCUUCCCAUGUCCCCCCCCAAAGCAUUACCACACACCAGUUUCAGUGGAAGCAUUGAUGAAUGGGUGCUGCGGGCUCCCAGCCAACACCCGACCUGCACAGACAGAGCUGACGUUCAGCUUUGAUUCCCUCAAAUGAAGUGAAAAGAGCAGGGCAGAGGGGCUGGGAUGCAUCCCAGGCUGGGCAGUGUGCAGGGGCAAAGCCAGGGCCCAGGUGGCCCUAGGGGCACAGUGACCGUGCGGGCUGUGCAAGACGAGAAGAUUAAUAACAGUGCGUGUAGCUGCUCAAAGCAAAUGCACAAAAGAGUAUUAAGUUGUUCGGAGCUGGCUGUUUCAGAAUGGAUUCAUUUGACAGGAAGAAUUUCUUUCCAGACCUCAUUCUUUUUGCGUCUUUUCUCAGCUGUCGCUCUUUUGCAGCUUGCUGCUUUCUCCUUCCAGCCCUGUUUUCCAGGAGACCCAUGCAGGCAGCGGGCUGCCCGUCUCGCUUUUGUGAGUUUUUCCAUCUGUAAGAAGUGAUGGAGAUCAAAAUGAAUCCGUGGGGCCCAGCACACUUGGGCAUGUGGCAGCGCAUUGUGUGUUUGGGAAGAAAGGUUGGGGAUCCAUCACACCAGCGAGGCAACACUGAAUUUAAAGGAAAUGUAGCCACGAUAAUGUUGGUGAUGCUGCAGCAGCGUGGAGCUUCAUCACUGGAGAUGGUGAAAAUCUGGUGAAUGGAAAAGGACGGGCAGGCACGUGAGCAAAAGCCUUGGAAUGUAAGGGCAUAGCAGGGCUCAGUCUGAUGGGCCUCUUCUUCUAUUACUAAUUUAUUUCUUCCUUUGGAUUUCCAAGUGCGGCCGUAGGUGUGUACCUCUCCCAUAAAUUAGACACGGCAAUAGAAAUAAAGGGCUGCUCAUGAGCAUCUCCACCUCAAUGUGUCUCCUUACCAGAAGUCCUGGAGGAGAGGAGCUGGGCUCUACAGCACCAAGUGAGGAGUCUUCCUCAGUCAUCCUGUAGAUGACUGCAUCCAGAGGUGCAAGCAGCACUCUUUGAAGGCCUUAGCUCCCCUGGUUGUUGUGCUGGAAUCAUGCCCUGCUUUUUCCUUCACCUGAGCUGUUGCUUCAAGCUCAGUUCAAACUCACUGAGCAUUUUCUGGUGCGGAAAUUCUUCUCCUUCAGCUGGCGAUGCUGCCAGCACACACAGCACCUCCUUGCUGCAGUGGCCUCGUGCCCUCCUCCCCUUGCAAACAGAUGUUCUUGCCGUGCCUGAAGUUAGUCAAGGCCCGCGCUGCUGUGAGGCCUUGCACGGUGCCAUGGUUUGUGUUUCUGCUGAAAUGCAAGGCCGGGAUGGCUGUGCAGAAAUGGAAGACCCAGAGCAGCAGUGCUGAGCUGAAACCCAGUGAACCUGCGGUGAGAUGCCGCUUGCCCUUCGGGAGCAUUUUAGAACGUAAGUUGAAAAACACAUGGCUCGUAUUUCCAGCCCUCUGCCUGGCCUGCGUGUGGAUGAGAAGUGGCUUUGCAGGUGCAGACCACCCCUACGUGCAGUGCAGCAGUACGGGCCCGGACUUACAGCUCCCUGGUGUGUAACGAGCACCGCCUGCAGCAGCUCCGAGAACCUGAGCGGGCUCAUUGCACUCAGACCAGAUGGCGGAGUCAGGAAAUCAGUCCUUGCAGUAGCAAGACGAGUACUGUCCAGGUGGGCUGAGUUACCACGCUCACUGCAGGCUGGCUCAGCCAGCAGCUCCAUCGCUCUUCCUGCCCAGAAAGCUCCCUCUCCAUUUCCUAGGAAGAGCGUUCACCUUGCUGCCUCCUCCUUCAGCCAGCAGCUGGGUGUGUUUUUGGCACGCAGCGUGCCCCGAGGCGGAUCUGAAAGACAGCUCGCCAGGGUGCUCCCCUUCCCACACUACUCACCAGGCACGCAGCCCUCGGUGAUCUCCUGCGUCUCAUUCACAGAAGUGCUUGCUCUUGAGAAGAAAUGCCUGGUGGUUAAAGCGGUUCCAGUAAAAUACGAGUGCGUAGGUAGCUGCUUUCCAUCACACAGAGAAGCAUCGAGAACAGAAACCCCUUGGGCUUGGUCUGCAGCAGAGAAGUGCCUCUUGCUGACAGCAGGCGGGAGCGCUGCGCUUGGUGCUGGCCCGGCCUCGCUCCGUGCUGGUUCUGACCGUUGCCUGCUUAAAGGUUGCUGAAUGUGGUUGAAACCACGUGUGCUUGAACUGGUACUGAACCUGACAGACGAAAAAAUGAAGUGUUUUUCCAGCGUGGGAUGGGGACAAGUGGCCGUACAGAGCUGAUGUCAUCACUGUGCUUUGCAGUAAGGGAGCUGUGCCCUGCCAGUGCUCGUAACUGCUCUCCCUUGGAAAACGCUGCUCCAGCUCAACAUCUGCUUUCCUGAAGGGCUCCGUGAUGCUAUGUGGGGUUUUUUCAACUGCUGCUUGAGCACCAUUGGCUGACUUGCAUCUGGAGGUCAAGUGCCUUGCCCCCAGAGGUCAUGCAGCAGGCGAGCCCUUUGAUCCCUGUCCUGACAGAUGAGAGCAGAGUGAGGCACUGCUGCUGCCGGCGCUGGGAGCUGAGCUCCAGGCUCUGUCGUCAGGGCACGGCCUGGGUUAGAGCUCUGUCUGCAGAGACGGGGAAAGGAGAGCUCUUUGCUUCAAACUUGACCUGGUCUCAAGUCUGAAGUCAGGAAGGCUUGUUCUAUAAACAGACGGAAGGUGUGAACUGUUUCUUUCAUCACUGCUCUUUCAGCUCAGGGAAAGUGAAAUGCAGCAGUGCAUCAUAGCUGCAAGGCACUUGUUCCAUGGGCUGCACCCCCCAAGGAGCCUGCUGGCUGCGACAGCUGCUGCUGAAUGCUAGGCUCUUCCUGCAGCUUGCAACCCUUCUUAAUAAGCAUGUUUCAGCUCAAGCAGCACUUGAGCAGAAUGACAGGUAAACCCCAGGGCCCUCAAACACAUGGAAGAGUUUUGCUAGCCGCUUCCUCCUGCAGCGUGUGCACAGGGGCAUGCGGGCUGGGAGGUGCAGGCUUGCAAGGCAGAGUGGGCACUGGCAGUGGAAAGGUUGGCUUGCUUGUCUUAAACUGAUGCCCUCCCUCUGCUCUCUUCUGGAGAGGCCUCUGGUGUUAUAGCAGAGCCAGCCACUGCGGGUGUCCCCUGUACCAUUGCUUCCCGUCAUCCUUGGAAAGCUUGUCAGCAUUAGGAGGGCUGAGUGAAAAGACCGAGUGCUGCCUGACCGCCUGCCAGGAACAUCUUAAUGCACGAAACCUCCCUCUGUGGGCAGGCAGGCUUGGGUGAAGCCUACGGUAUUCCAGCUCCCAGUGUUCUUCCCCUUGCAGCCCUUCCCAGCAUCCAGCAAGGGGAGCUGAGAGCCCGGCCCUUCCCCAUGGCUGCACCCAGGCUGUCCCUGGGUGAUGUAGGCACCAGCUCCUAACACCAGGGCUGACCCCCAGCCCAGUGCCUUUGUCUCGCUGCUCUGGCCGGGCUGGGGGCUUUGAUGGAGAGCUCCUGGAUGGCAGCGUGCACACCAGCAGGCUGAUACACUGAGCAGCUGUGCAGGGCUGUGUUUCACAUCCCCAUGCCUCACUGUGAGCACCUUCUUUCCUCCCUGUGUCUGGGGAGGACCACGCUUUUCCCCUUUCAUCUUCAGUGUGAGAGGGUUCCCAGUCCUUGGGUUCUUUCUCUCCAUCUUUCAGAGCUCUGCUGCUCCCUCCCUCGUCCCCGUGGUGUUGCCUUCAGCGCAGUGCUGAGGCUCUGCAGGGCCACACAGUCUCCCGCAGCUCACCUCCUUCCUCCGUCCACCUUCCAUGCACGAAUACAAAACACAAGUUCCGUGUUGCUUUCUCCCACCGCGUCCCAGAAGAAGAUGGAGGCUGAGUUGCACUUCACAAAUGUCCAUCUCGUGCGGAGAUCUCCGGACCCCCAUUCCUGCAGCCCUGAGUGCAGCCCUGCUCUCGAGCAGCGUGUUCAGCAGCUCGCAGCUGUGUUGGGAGCACGAGACCCCGCAGGCAGGAUGCAAGUGAGGGGAAGAAGCCUGACCUUCCUCUCCAUGCUCUGCAGGGAGCUCCGGGUCUCCUGCUCGAUGUAAGAUUGCCUGUAGCAACGUUCUGCCAUUCAUUCCAACAGGAGUGGGGUUGUGUUAUCUAUCUGGGAGCCCGUGGAGGGCUCCUUAGGAAGAAUUCAUCCCUGCACACCGUGUUUAUCCAUAACGUAGCACAAGUGCUGUGUUCCCCUCCCCAGGUCUGUGCUGAGGGCAGAGGCUGUGCCAGCACGGCACUCUGGUUCUGGCUCUCUGCAUGCUGCCAAAGCCAUCUAGGUUGCCCCUGUGACACCAACAAGCGAGGCGGAUGCUGACAAAUUCCUCUCUCAAUUUUUAGUUGCUUUGGCUUCACUAUGGGGAAGCAGUUGUGUGCCUCUCCCCAGGCCAAGGGGAGCAGUGCUGCAGGCUGAGAGCCACAGGGGUUGGGGCAACGAGGGGCUGUCCUAAGCACACGUGCAGUAAGUGCUUCUACAUCCCGGUUAGAAAAGAAGACGAAACCGAAGUUAAAAAUAAACCCCAUCUGAUCUGCAGCACUUCUGUCUUCCCUCGAUGAGCGGUUCCAGCACCAGCUUGGCGAGGAGGGACCCGCAGACAGAUCGGGGAACUGACGAGCAGAGGAGCGGAAGGGAAGGGCUGACGGGAGCUUCACGCAGAGCUCAGGGGCAGAGAACAGAGCCCGCUCCCCCCGCCGGCAGGGCUGCUUUCCAUCACUGCCGUCAUUCUGCACACCAACGUGGGAAGGAGUGACCGGAGGCGACGGCUGCAAAGGUGAAAGGGAAAGCUUACCCCACUGCAGCUCUGGAAACGUGCAGUAACCCAAUGCCUCCUGACUUCUUGCAGCUGGAGCUAACGACAGCGAAAGGGAAGACCUGCCCCUUAACACAGGCCGUACCAGGGAGUCGUACCUGGUGAACUCCUGCCUGAAUCGGUGGCAGUGGAGGAGGUGUGUGAUUGUAUAAAUGAUGGAAACACCGCCCGAGAGGCAGAGCACGCUCAUUUGCAGUCCUUGUGCAGGAAAAUGGAGAUGUGGGAGUGCACAAUGUCCCUGUUGUGGUGACUGACUCCAUGCAGCGGUGCUUGCUCUGCCUUCUCUGGGCAGUGCCCCAGGAAGGGUUUACAUCUCUGCCCUUGGGAACCUGGCCCUGAUCCUGCUGUCGUGCUGGUGCCGAAGAGCAAAUCCGGCUGGUGUCAGAGGAGCUGCACUGACAUCAAUCUGCUGUAAGCAGGGAUAUCAUGGGGCCUUGUGUUGGACGUUUUCCACCUUCCAGGGUGAAUGGGUGGAUGUUCUCUCAAGCAGACAAGCCUCAGCAUGCACAGUUAUUCUUCCUAGAUGGAUGUCGCUAUCCGUAGCAGGCAACUUUGCUGGUUUUUCCUCCCCCUCACUAUUUCUGCCAAGAGGACCGGAGAGCUGUGGUCAGUGGCACCGCCGAGGGACACGUGGAAUGACAGUGUGCCAAGGCAGUGAGCGGAAAGCUCCAGUCUGGAGCUCCAAAAGCUUGCAGAAGCAAAGCUCCUCUGUACCACGGACAGCGUUGGGAUCACCAGCAGGAAGGAGCGCUCUGCUUGGAUUCUUUGCCUUGGGGGCACUUGAUGACCUUUCUUCAGCUCGGCGUCGAUCUGGACAUGCAGGGAGACUUCCCCACGCUGAUACCAGGUAGGAUUCUUCCUGCGCAGUUGCUCCCCCGUAGCAUCCAAAGGUAGGGAGCUCCAUCUUGUUGCCCUAACCCUAUCUCCACCAACCACAUCACGGAGUUUUGGGCCAUGCUGUUCCCCCCGGGGCUGUUCGGGGUGCCCCUCAGAGCACGCCCACCACAGCUCCUAACAGAAAACCAGUUGAUCACGGAAUCGUUUGAGUUGGAAGGGACCUUUCAAGGCCAUCUGGUCCCACUCCCCUGCGCCGAACAGGGACACCCACAGCUCCCUCAGGUGCUCAGAGCCCCAUCCUCGGGGAUGGGGGGACGUUCCAGCUGUGCGGGCAGCCUGCCGUGCCCCACCACCCUUAGCGCAACACGCUUUUUUCCUCACGCUCAGUCCACAUGCCCCCCCCCCUUCCAUUCCCCUCAUCCCGUCACGGCAGGAUUUAAAAAAAAAAAAAAAAAAAAAGGGAAAAAAGAGCAGGGCUCUCCGCCUUCCUUCUGCAGGCAGUGCCAGGCGGAGCGGGGCGGGCUGGCGGCGGGGAGCGCGGUGCCGGAGCCGUGCUGGCUGCCCCCCGCCGCUGCCCCCGGCGCAGCCCCGCCGCCCGUCGCUCACCCCCUCGCCCCCCCGCCGCCGUCGCGCCGCUUGCCAGCGCCUCCGCUGUUGAAAUGGGCCAAGUUCGAGGAGCGGCGGCGGCGGCGGAGGGACGGCGUGUUUGCUCCGAGUCCCUGAACUCUUGCAGCGGGAGCCGGUGCCGCGCGGAGGGGGAACCCGGCCCGGCCCGACCCGGCGGGGGGGGCGGCGCUCGGGGCGAUCCCCGGCGCUGCGGAGCUCGGUCCGCGUGUGCGUGUGCAUCUUUCGCUGCAACUGAGCGCCGCGCCGUUCUCACUCCAAAUCCCGUGCGGGAGCG